rnacentral:rRNA from 1 species
CAAGCGGUGGAUGAUGUGGAUUAAUUCGAUGCAACGCGAAAAACCUUACCUACGCUUGACAUGUCUGGAAUCCUGAAGAGAUUUAGGAGUGCCCGCAAGGGAACCGGAACACAGGUGCUGCAUGGCUGUCGUCAGCUCGUGUCGUGAGAUGUUGGGUUAAGUCCCGCAACGAGCGCAACCCUUGUCACUAGUUGCUACGCAAGAGCACUCUAGUGAGACUGCCGGUGACAAACCGGAGGAAGGUGGGGAUGACGUCAAGUCCUCAUGGCCCUUAUGUGUAGGGCUUCACACGUCAUACAAUGGUCGGGACAGAGGGUCGCCAACCCGCGAGGGGGAGCUAAUCUCAUAAACCCGAUCGUAGUCCGGAUCGCAGUCUGCAACUCGACUGCGUGAAGUCGGAAUCGCUAGUAAUCGCGGAUCAGAAUGCCGCGGUGAAUACGUUCCCGGGUCUUGUACACACC